GACGAACGCUGGCGGCGUGCUUAACACAUGCAAGUCGAACGGAAAGGCCCUGCUUUUGUGGGGUGCUCGAGUGGCGAACGGGUGAGUAACACGUGAGUAACCUGCCCUUGACUUUGGGAUAACUUCAGGAAACUGGGGCUAAUACCGGAUAGGAGCUCCUGCUGCAUGGUGGGGGUUGGAAAGUUUCGGCGGUUGGGGAUGGACUCGCGGCUUAUCAGCUUGUCGGUGGGGUAGUGGCUUACCAAGGCUUUGACGGGUAGCCGGCCUGAGAGGGUGACCGGCCACAUUGGGACUGAGAUACGGCCCAGACUCCUACGGGAGGCAGCAGUGGUGAAUAGUGCACUAUGGGCGGAAGCCUGAUGCAGCAACGCCGCGUGCGGGAUGACGGCCUUCGGGUUGUAAGCCGCUUUCGCCUGUGACGAAGCGUGAGUGACGGGAAUGGGUAAAGAAGCACCGGCUAACUACGUG
rnacentral:rRNA from 1 species